CUUGGUAAUAAGGGUUUUGGCCCUGUAACUGGGUCUACAGCCCACCGCCUAACUCUCGGCCAUAUUACC
rnacentral:tRNA from 1 species